AAUUUUCUAAGGUGAUAUUAAAUUUUUAUUCUUAAUUUAUAUUAUUGUUGAAAAUAAUAAUAUUUUCUUUAAGACUAAAAGACCCUAAAAUUUUUAUAACUUUAGGUUAUUUAAUUGGGGAAAUGAAUUAAUAAAAAUGUA
rnacentral:rRNA from 1 species